CCUACGGGAGGCAGCAGUGAGGAAUAUUGGUCAAUGGGCGCGAGCCUGAACCAGCCAAGUAGCGUGAAGGAUGACUGCCCUACGGGUUGUACACUUCUUUUAUAAAGGAAUAAAGUGAGGAACGUGUGCCUUUUUGUAUGUACUUUAUGAAUAAGGAUCGGCUAACUCCGUGCCAGCAGCCGCGUUAAUACGGAGGAAUCGAGCGUUAUCCGGGUUUCUUGGGUUUAAAGGGACCGUAGAUGGGUUGUUAAGUAAGUUGUGAAAGUUUGCGGCGCAACCGUAAAAUUGCCAUUGAUACUGUCAGUCUUGAGUACAGUUGAGGUAGGCGGAAUUCGUGGUGUAGCGGUGAAAUGCUUAGAUAUCACGAAGAACUCCGAUUGCGAAGGCAGCUUACUAAGCUGCCACUGACAUUGAUGCUCGAAAGUGUGGGUAUCAAACAGGAUUAGAUACCCCUGUAGUC
rnacentral:rRNA from 1 species